rnacentral:rRNA from 1 species
CGCGGUAAUACGUAGGGCGCAAGCGUUAUCCGGAAUUAUUGGGCGUAAAGAGCUCGUAGGCGGUUUGUCGCGUCUGCCGUGAAAGUCCGGGGCUCAACUCCGGAUCUGCGGUGGGUACGGGCAGACUAGAGUGAUGUAGGGGAGACUGGAAUUCCUGGUGUAGCGGUGAAAUGCGCAGAUAUCAGGAGGAACACCGAUGGCGAAGGCAGGUCUCUGGGCAUUAACUGACGCUGAGGAGCGAAAGCAUGGGGAGCGAACAGGAUUAGAUACCCUGGUAGUCCAUGCCGUAAACGUUGGGCACUAGGUGUGGGGGACAUUCCACGUUUUCCGCGCCGUAGCUAACGCAUUAAGUGCCCCGCCUGGGGAGUACGGCCGCAAGGCUAAAACUCAAAGGAAUUGACGGGGGCCCGCACAAGCGGCGGAGCAUGCGGAUUAAUUCGAUGCAACGCGAAGAACCUUACCAAGGCUUGACAUGGACUGGAUCGCUGCAGAAAUGUGGUUUCCCCUUUGGGGCUGGUUCACAGGUGGUGCAUGGUUGUCGUCAGCUCGUGUCGUGAGAUGUUGGGUUAAGUCCCGCAACGAGCGCAACCCUCGUUCUAUGUUGCCAGCGCGUUAUGGCGGGGACUCAUAGGAGACUGCCGGGGUCAACUCGGAGGAAGGUGGGGACGACGUCAAAUCAUCAUGCCCCUUAUGUCUUGGGCUUCACGCAUGCUACAAUGGCCGGUACAAAGGGUUGCGAUACUGUGAGGUGGAGCUAAUCCCAAAAAGCCGGUCUCAGUUCGGAUUGGGGUCUGCAACUCGACCCCAUGAAGUCGGAGUCGCUAGUAAUCGCAGAUCAGCAACGCUGCGGUGAAUACGUUCCCGGGCCUUGUACACACCGCCCGUCAAGUCACGAAAGUUGGUAACACCCGAAGCCGGUGGCCU